UUGCAUGAAUUCUGGAGCAGAGGAAAUGCAGCUCUUGUGGACCCACUAAAUGUAUUAUUAUUCAGAGAUCUGCCCUCAGUGGUUAACACAAGCAAAAGGGAACAGGGCGUGUUUGUUGUGUGAGCGUUCCCACAGACAAGAAUCAAAGCCAGAAGAACAAAACAGCCCCAGAUGUGUUCUACUCUAUUAUCCGAAGUAAAUGAAAAUCAACCCUGAGGAAUGUGUAGACGGAAGCAGUUCAUCCUGGGAGGUGAGAAUGAGCAUUGAAAGAGCCAUCCGUGAAACCGUAAAGCUGGGAAAGAGAAGUGAAGGGGCACAUGGAAGUGUUCAUCUCUGGGACAGGGAAAAACAAUCCGGAGAAGAUGAGUCACACUUCAUUUGUAACUCAUGAAUGAAAAUCAAUACUGUUACUUAUCAUAAAUUACACUGAACAUAGUGCUUACACUUGAGUAUCAAUGCAGUAAAACCACUAUGAGCCAAUUGAUUGACUUUUCUAGAUCCCAAUUCUAUCAUUCAUCUUCUGGUAUUCAUCUUCUGGCUUAGCUACUAU
rnacentral:lncRNA from 1 species